AUCCAGCUGACGAGUCCCAAAUAAGACGACACACGCGUCCUGGAU
rnacentral:hammerhead_ribozyme from 1 species